rnacentral:rRNA from 1 species
CCUACGGGAGGCAGCAGUGAGGAAUAUUGGUCAAUGGACGAGAGUCUGAACCAGCCAAGUAGCGUGAAGGAUGACUGCCCUAUGGGUUGUAAACUUCUUUUAUAUGGGAAUAAAAUGUUCCACGUGUGGGAUUUUGUAUGUACCAUAUGAAUAAGGAUGGGCUAACUCCGUGCCAGCAGCCGCGGUAAUACGGAGGAUCCGAGCGUUAUCCGGAUUUAUUGGGUUUAAAGGGAGCGUAGGUGGAUUGUUAAGUCAGUUGUGAAAGUUUGCGGCUCAACCGUAAAAUUGCAGUUGAAACUGGCAGUCUUGAGUACAGGAGAGGUGGGCGGAAUUCGUGGUGUAGCGGUGAAAUGCUUAGAUAUCACGAAGAACUCCGAUUGCGAAGGCAGUUCACUGGACUGCAACUGACACUGAGGCUCGAAAGUGUGGGUAUCAAACAGGAUUAGAUACCCUUGUAGUC